UUUUGGGCUUUUAACCCGAUCGUUCAGCUGUGCGCCUUUUACCGGGCUGCACGCUGGAGCAAGACCCCACACCUGUGCACCUUUUCGGUUGCGGCUUCGGUCGCUGCCGCUUUCAAAUGCAACAACUCAGUCUCGAAUGUUAACAAAACCAUAAAAAGUAACAACUUUCAACAACGGAUCUCUUGGCUCUCGCAUCGAUGAAGAACGCAGCGAAAUGCGAUAAGUAAUGUGAAUUGCAGAAUUCAGUGAAUCAUCGAAUCUUUGAACGCAUCUUGCGCUCCUUGGUAUUCCAUGGAGCAUGCCUGUUUGAGUGUCACGUAAACCCUCACCCCUGCGAUGUAACAGUCGCUCGCGGUGGACUUGGACUGUGCCGUAACCGGCUCGUCUUGAAAUGCAUUAGCUGGCGCUUUUAGAGUGCUGGGCGACGGUGUGAUAAUUAUCUGCGCCAAUGCCUUAGGCCUCUUCAGCGGUGCUGCUUACAGCCGUCCCUCUGUGGACACAUUUUUUU
rnacentral:rRNA from 1 species